rnacentral:rRNA from 1 species
AUUGAACGCUGGCGGCAUGCCUUACACAUGCAAGUCGAACGGCAGCACGGGAGCAAUCCUGGUGGCGAGUGGCGAACGAGUGAGUAAAGUAUCGGAACGUGCCCAGUCGUGGGGGAUAACGUAGCGAAAGUUACGCUAAUACCGCAUACGAUCUAUGGAUGAAAGCGGGGGAUCGCAAGACCUCGCGCGGUUGGAGCGGCCGAUAUCAGAUUAGGUAGUUGGUGGGGUAAAGGCCCACCAAGCCGACGAUCUGUAGCUGGUCUGAGAGGACGACCAGCCACACUGGGACUGAGACACGGCCCAGACUCCUACGGGAGGCAGCAGUGGGGAAUUUUGGACAAUGGGCGAAAGCCCGAUCCAGCCAUGCCGCGUGCAGGAUGAAGGCCUUCGGGUUGUAAACUGCUUUUGUACGGAACGAAAUGGACUGCCCUAAUACGGUGGUCCCAUGACGGUACCGUAAGAAUAAGCACCGGCUAACUACGUGCCAGCAGCCGCCGUAA